rnacentral:rRNA from 1 species
AUGACAUCUAUCAAAGUGGGCGACCACGUGGUGACCGGGCAUGAGGCCAUGGCUGAGGCCGCCUACAACCACUUCUCCGAUGUGCUCGGAAGUGCCAGGGAGCAUGACAUCACGCUUGAUCUCCGCUCAUGUGGCAAUCUGAGCUUCGACUAUCCCUUUGGCAUCGGGUCGAGAUGCUCACGUGGGACUAAUUUCAGUCUCGCUUGCAAUGAGACCUCUCACCCCGCCAAGCUCUUCUUUCACGACGGCAUCACUGAGGCAACUGGCGAUAUCGAUGUGAAUGAUUUUGGCCCUGCAAAUUUCAUCAGGACCUCCUUUUGGCAUACCAUCCCCAUGAAAUCUGGUGUAAAAGUGUACAACUUGUCGCUAAAAUCACCUGGGAGGUCCUUCACCCAUGGGUACACCGUUCUAACACUACAGGAAAGAAGUAAUAUGCCAAUGGUCAAAUGUACACAGACGGGCCCCAUCAGCGUACAUCGAGAUAAGCCGAUGGACAAACUGAAACCAUCGGUAUACAAGGGCCGUUAG